CAGACUCCAGGCUCUGAGCCAUCAGCCCAGAGCCUGACGCGGGGCUCAAACUCACGGACCGCAAGAUUGUGACCUGGCUGAAGUCGGACGCUCAACCGACUGCGCCACCCAGGCGCCCCAUUGUCCCUGUGAUUUCUAACAGCACAGUCCAUUCUGGGGAUCCGAAGAGAGGGACAGUACCUGGCAGAGGUUGGAUCAGGAUAAUAGGACAUGUAGGAUGUUCAGUGCAGCACUGUGACAUGGCAAGAGAAGGGAAUCCUGUCACAAUCCCACAUUUGUGAAGGGUUGAAUGGGUGAGGUAAAAAUCUCCCUGCUCCUCACGAACGUGUGUCAGACGUGGAGAAGGUGUGGAAGGAUGGUCGGGCGAACCGGGACACCUGGGAACGUUCGUCGGGGAAACGUGUACAACAAUGGCAAUAUAUUCUAGACAGAAUGGGACGUGAAAUGGUCUCACACCUCUUUUCUGAUCUUCCUCCAAAUAAGUGGAGAGGGACGUUGUGUCUGACCGUUGCAGGGGCUGGGCCCUGAGGGCAUGUUUGGGGAGCAGAUGGGGUUCCAGGUUCAUCUGGGACCAGGAGUCUGUGAGAGCUACCAGGGGAGCAGCAGUGUGUUUUCUGGGCCCUGGGUGUUGGGUUUCCCUGGUACCUGCACUCACCCUGAGCCAGCGCGGCUUCGUGCUGAUGGCAUGGGGCUUCCUCCUUUCCUUCAGGGAAGUAGAGCAGGGGCUCUCAUUCAGCUUCUCCUCCAUCUCUGGCAUGUGGCUCUGUCAAGACAGUGCCCAGCAGGCUGCAGGCAGGCAGGCAGGCAGGCAGGUGUCCUCAAAGCCGUGUCUGCUUGCUUUCGCUUGUCCUCAGGCCCAUAUGAAUUCAUUCCAGAUAUGACACCACAGUGUGCACUCACCUCCCCCACGGAGGAGAAGCAAGGUGGCUUGAGGGCCUUGGAUUCAACCUGUUACAGGUUAGAGGCACCUCAGAGAUCCCUUUUCCCUCCUUCCCAGCAUGACAUGUGCAUGGCCAUGAUGGGUCCACCAGGUGGUCCACUGCCAUCGAACCUGCUCCGGUCCCGGGGAGGACCGGCCCCCAUGUCCCCCUUUCCCCGAAACUGAACAUGAGGGGAUGGGGGUGCCCAGGGAAGGCUCCGAGCUGUGACCUGACCUGACCUGGCCUGCUCUAGGCUGCUCUGUGUUACCUUAUGUGACCUCCUGGAAAACAUCCUGAGGCAUCGCCAGCGUGGGUUAAGGAAACCUCUCCAACAUCUGAGUAAUCCUGCGCACUGGGGUUUCUGGCAUCCAGAGCCCCGGUACCUGGGAAAACAACAAGAGAACAUCC